AUGCUUUUGUGGAAGUUGAUCCAUGAUUUACCAGACUCGUAUUUGGAGCAACUAGACAAACAGAAGUGAGCUAGAAAAUGGUUUAAAACUGAAAAGGGCAUAACUUUCAUCACAUGUGGAGUUAUACGUCUCAACGAGCCGCGCUGUUGGACAAAUGCAAUAGACAAAGCACGACUCACGGGACCCAAUUUCGCCAUCUAGAGCUCCGAUUUUGAACUCAAGGCUGUUAACUUGGUGGGAGCCUUAUUAUUGACAAGAGGUUCAUAAUGAAGAAGACUUGCCACUGAAGGAACCCCUAGAGCUUGCGUAUGGUCGCUCAUGGGCUAAGUUACCUCUGAUGGUAACUUA
rnacentral:lncRNA from 1 species